rnacentral:rRNA from 1 species
UACGUAGGGGCCUAGCGUUGUCCGGAUUUAUUGGGCGUAAAGAGCUCGUAGGCGGCUUGGUAAGUCAGGUGUGAAAUCUCCACGCUCAACGUGGAGGGGCCACCCGAAACUGCCAUGGCUUGAGUCCGGUAGGGGAGUGUGGAAUUCCCGGUGUAGCGGUGAAAUGCGCAGAUAUCGGGAGGAACACCCGUAGCGAAGGCGGCACUCUGGGCCGGUACUGACGCUGAGGAGCGAAAGCGUGGGGAGCGAACAGG